CAGGCCUAACACAUGCAAGUCGAACGGGCACUUCGGUGUCAGUGGCAGACGGGUGAGUAACACGUGGGAACGUGCCCUUCGGUUCGGAACAACUCAGGGAAACUUGAGCUAAUACCGGAUACGCCCUUACGGGGAAAGGUUUACUGCCGAAGGAUCGGCCCGCGUCUGAUUAGCUAGUUGGUGAGGUAACGGCUCACCAAGGCGACGAUCAGUAGCUGGUCUGAGAGGAUGAUCAGCCACACUGGGACUGAGACACGGCCCAAACUCCUACGGGAGGCAGCAGUGGGGAAUAUUGGACAAUGGGCGCAAGCCUGAUCCAGCCAUGCCGCGUGAGUGAUGACGGCCCUAGGGUUGUAAGCUCUUUUACCUGGGAAGAUAAUGAC
rnacentral:rRNA from 1 species